AAACAUGUCUUUUUGAAAAUAAUUUAAAGUCUGACCUGCCCACUGACAUAUAAGUUGAAGGGCCGCAGUAUUUUGACUGUGCAAAGGUAGCAUAAUCAUUAGUCUUUUAAUUGGGGACUAGAAUGAAUGGUUUGACGAGGUAUUAACUGUCUCGAAAUAAUAAAGUGGAAUUUAACUUUUGAGUUAAAAGGCUUAAAUUUAGUUAGAGGACGAGAAGACCCUAUAGAGCUUUAUAAAUAUAUAAUUAAUUUUAUUUUAGUUGAAUUUUUAAAUUUAUUUAUAAGUUUAUUUUAUUGGGGUGAUAUAAAGAUAAAAAAAACUCUUUAAGAUUUUAUACGUUAAUGUACGGAUAUAUGAUCCAUUAAUAAUGAUUAUAAGAUUAAGUUACCUUAGGGAUAACAGCGUAAUUUUUUUUGAGAGUUCUAAUCGAUAAAGAAGAUUGCGACCUCGAUGUUGGAUUAAGGAAUAUUAUUAGGUGUAGAAGCUUAAAUUUUAGGUCUGUUCGACCUUUGAAUCCCUUACAUGAUCUGAG
rnacentral:rRNA from 1 species